UACGUAGGGGGCAAGCGUUGUCCGGAUUUAUUGGGCGUAAAGAGCGUGUAGGCGGCCAGGUAGGUCCGUUGUGAAAACUCGAGGCUCAACCUCGAGACGCCGAUGGAAACCAUCUGGCUAGAGUCCGGAAGAGGAGAGUGGAAUUCCCGGUGUAGCGGUGAAAUGCGCAGAUAUCAGGAGGAACACCAAUGGCGAAGGCAGCUCGCUGGGACGGUACUGACGCUGAGGCGCGAAAGCGUGGGGAGCAAACAGG
rnacentral:rRNA from 1 species